ensembl:snoRNA
AACAUGCUUCCUUAGAUCCACCUUUGUGGAUGUCAAUCUUGAACUGAGUUCUACUCGUAAACUUUGGUUUCUUGUAGUUCCAGUGAAAGAAACAUCCAGCAACUUUUUUGGUUGUAUAGUCAAAGGUGCUUGAGUCAUUGGCAUGUGAGAUCAAUAUACCUGCAUGUUAGUCUUAAGUUCUGAUAGAAAUGACAUGCAAUUAUGCUGCCAUACUUGACUAUCAGGACGUGACUGGUGUGCGGACACU